rnacentral:rRNA from 1 species
GACGAACGCUGGCGGUGUGCUUAACACAUGCAAGUCGAACGGUAAGGCCCUUUCGGGGGUACACGAGUGGCGAACGGGUGAGUAACACGUGAGUAACCUGCCCUCAUCUCUGGGAUAACAGUCGGAAACGGUUGCUAAUACUGGAUAUGAGCUUGCAAGGCAUCUUGUGGGUUGGAAAGAUUUUUUUGGUUGGGGAUGGACUCGCGGCCUAUCAGCUUGUUGGUGAGGUAGUGGCUCACCAAGGCUUCGACGGGUAGCCGGCCUGAGAGGGCGACCGGCCACAUUGGGACUGAGAUACGGCCCAAACUCCUACGGGAGGCAGCAGUGGGGAAUAUUGCACAAUGGACGGAAGUCUGAUGCAGCAACGCCGCGUGCGGGAGGACGGCCUUCGGGUUGUAAACCGCUUUCAAUUGUGACGAAGCUUUUUGCGACGGUAGCAGUAGAAGAAGCACCGGCUAACUACGUG